rnacentral:rRNA from 1 species
GGGCCUGCGUUUCAUUAGCUAGUUGGUAGGGUAAUGGCCUNCCAAGGCAACGAUGAGUAGCUGGUCUGAAGAGGAUGAUCAGCCACACUGGAAYUGAAACACAGGUCCAGACUCCUACGGGAGGCAGCAGUGGGGAAUAUUGCGCAAUGGGCGAAAGCCUGACAGCAGAAACGCCGUGUGAGGGAUGAAGGCUUUCGGGUCGUAAACCUCUGUCGGAAGGGAAGAACGGGCAUUGGUCUAAUAGGCCUUUGUUUUGACGGUACCUUUAGAGGAAGCACCGGCUAACUCCGUGCCAGCAGCCGCGGUAAUACGGAGGGUGCAAGCGUUAUUCGGAAUUGCUGGGCGUAAAGCGCACGUAGGCGGCUUNGUAAGUCAGGGGUGAAAUCCCACGGCUCAACCGUGGAACUGCCUUUGAAACUGCAGAGCUUGAAUCCUGGAGAGGGUGGCGGAAUUCCUGGUGUAGGAGUGAAAUCCGUAGAUAUCAGGAGGAACACCGGUGAGGAAUGCCGGACCCGCUCGUGUGUACAGUUCCAGUGUGCAUCGUAGAGUCGACUGCACAUACGUUCAGAGCCAGCUACUCAUCGUUAGCCUUCGGUAGUCACAUUCACCCUCACUCAACUGAGUCGUAAUGAGACGCRGGCCC